GGCAACAAAGGCAAAAGUAUGACUCAUUCUCCAACACUUAUAAUGCGGGAUGGCAUGAUCAUCCACACUUUAAGUGGAAGAAUCAAGACAACAGGAAACAAUUUGCCCCCAACAACUUUAAUCGUUCACUUGACUUCUUUCAAGCAAGACCACAUAUUAGCCUCUUCAAUAACAACAUGCUCCAUGUAAGUCUCUUGAGGAUUUAAUUGCUUCUUUAGCUAAUUACACUCAAUCUCAUCAACAGAAAACGACUAAAGCAAUUGAAAACCUUGAGUACCAAAUGAGUCAACUAGCAAAUUUGAAAGCGGUAACAACACCAACUGGGAAAGUUGCCUAGCCAAACUCCAGCUCCAGCUAUGAACUUUGGCAAGAGUCGUCAAGUUUGAAGCCAGCUAGAGAAUCUAGCGAACUCCUUCAUGGGAAAUCCUUCGAGUCCGAGUUUCGGGUGAGGUUCCGAGGCCGGCUAGUAGCGCAGACGACACUGUAAGUUAGGAUUAACGGCGAGAAUGGCCAUUCCGUUAGUUUUAACAGAAUCUCUAGAUGGUAAAGGUAUAUUACGUCUCCCCUCUAUAUACAUUUUCCGACAAACGGCGCGUAGCACCGGCGAGGACGACUGUGAUGUUUACUUGUCGAACUGUGACUGCUGUGACUACAACGGUGCGUCUUCCUGACUCGUGGCAGUGCGUGAUGGCGCGUGCAAGACCGGAGACCUAACGAUGACCGCCGUUUGCUGCCAUUCCAACCUUACAAUGGUAUUAUUUGUUUUCAACAAAAAUAGUAACUUAAGAAAUAUUAUGUGCUAUUUCAAUUA